rnacentral:rRNA from 1 species
GACGAACGCUGGCGGCGUGGAUUAGGCAUGCAAGUCGAACGGUAUCAUCCUUUCGGGGGUGAGAGAGUGGCGAACUGGUGAGUAACACGUAGGUUAUCUACCCUCAAGACGGGGACAACCCAGGGAAACUUGGGCUAAUACCGGAUGUGAGCAACUUUUAGUUGUUUGAAAGGUGGCGUAAGCUGUCGCUUGGGGAUGAGCCUGCGUCCUAUUAGUUAGUUGGUGAGGUAACGGCUCACCUAGGCAAUGAUAGGUAGGCGGCCUUAACGGGUGGUCGCCCACACUGGGAUUGAGAUACGGCCCAGACUCCUACGGGAGGCAGCAGUCGAGAAUAGUCUACAAUGGUCGGAAGACUGAUAGUGCGACGCCGCGUGAACGAUGAAUCCCUUCGGGGUUAAAGUUCUUUUAUAUGUGAGCAGUGGGUUCUACGUUAAUAGCGUGGGAUCAGGGAUAUUAGCAUAUGAAUAAGCAACGGCUAACUCCGUGCCAGCAGCCGCGGUAAUAGUCACG